ensembl:lncRNA
GUCUAGGAUAAAUAUUUGAGAUGUUAAAGAGCCCUCACUUUUGAUUUUUCUUUCCUAUGGGGAUCUUCCCAAAUGUGCUUCACUCCGGUGCUGGGACACCACUGACCCUGGGUGCACCCGCAGUGGAAGACGCGAGUCAGGCCCCGGGUGAUGACCUCUCCCCCUCCGCCGCCUCCGGUCUUCGAGAUCUCCACCCGGAACCGCUGUGCUCCACUCCGUGAGACGGAACGCGACACUGUGAUCGUCGGAGACUCCAUCGUCUGACACGUCUAUACUAUGUUAGCCGAAGGAUUUACACAAGUUUCUGUCUGGAUCCAGAACACCUGAGAAGAGAUGAUGCCAGCCCCUCAGAGGACCUCAGAUGAUGCCAACCCUGAAACAACAUACAGAACUACCAAAUUUUGCUAUAAGUUUGAUUGCAUUAUAUAAUAAUUGCUGUUUAUAGUUUUCAUUGUCUGUUUGAUUACGUCUUUAAUUUAUUUUUCCGUACAUUUCUGCCAUAUGUAC